rnacentral:rRNA from 1 species
CCUACGGGAGGCAGCAGUGGGGAAUAUGGGACAAUGGGGGGAACCCUGAUCCAGCCAUGCCGCGUGUGUGAAGAAGGCCCUCGGGUUGUAAAGCACUUUCAGUGAGGAAGAACGCCUGGUGGUUAAUACCCAUCAGGAAAGACAUCACUCACAGAAGAAGCACCGGCUAACUCCGUGCCAGCAGCCGCGGUAAUACGGAGGGUGCGAGCGUUAAUCGGAAUUACUGGGCGUAAAGCGCGCGUAGGUGGCUUGAUAAGCCGGUUGUGAAAGCCCCGGGCUCAACCUGGGAACGGCAUCCGGAACUGUCAAGCUAGAGUGCAGGAGAGGAAGGUAGAAUUCCCGGUGUCGCGGUGAAAUGCGUAGAGCUCGGGAGGAAUACCAGUGGCGAAGGCGGCCUUCUGGACUGACACUGACACUGAGGUGCGAAAGCGUGGGUAGCAAACAGGAUUAGAUACCCGAGUAGUC